rnacentral:sRNA from 1 species
CGGGCGGCGUUAAGCGACCAUUAAGCUUUACAGCUGUUUACUAUGUGCAUCCAGUGAUCUGGAUUCUUACCGAGUGGUUGGAGCCACUUUGUUUGACGCCUCCCUGUUAACUUCUGAGAGCCGCCUUACCCGCGGCUCUUUUUUU